GAUGAACGCUAGCGGCAGGCCUAACACAUGCAAGUCGAGGGGUAACAGGGAGCUUGCUCCGCUGACGACCGGCGCACGGGUGCGCAACGCGUAUGCAAUCUACCUCUUACUAGGGAAUAGCCCAGAGAAAUUUGGAUUAAUGCCCUAUGUUAUAUUGAGUCGGCAUCGAUUUUAUAUUAAAGGUUACGGUAAGAGAUGAGCAUGCGUCCCAUUAGUUAGUUGGUAAGGUAACGGCUUACCAAGGCUUCGAUGGGUAGGGGUCCUGAGAGGGAGAUCCCCCACACUGGUACUGAGACACGGACCAG
rnacentral:rRNA from 1 species